CCAAUAGCGUAUAUUAAAGUUGUUGCAGUUAAAAAGCUCGUAGUUGAAUUUCGGGGUUCUUCCGUUGGUCAGGCUAACAAGUCUGUACUAGCGUGUAGAAUCUCUACCUUCUGGGGAACCAUCAUGUUAUUAAUUUAGCGUGGUGGGAAACCAGGACCUUUACCUUGAAAAAAUUAGAGUGUUCAAAGCAGGCUUACGUCUGAAUACAUUAGCAUGGAAUAAUAAAAUAGGACGGUGGUCCUGUUUUGUUGGUUUCUGAAUCACCGUAAUGAUUAAUAGGGAUAGUUGGGGGCAUUAGUAUGCAAUUGUCAGAGGUGAAAUUCUUGGAUUUAUUGAAGACUAACUUCUGCGAAAGCAUUUGCCAAGGAUGUUUUCAUUAAUCAAGAACGAAAGUUAGGGGAUCGAAGACGAUCAGAUACCGUCGUAGUCUUAACCAUAAACUAUGCCGACUAGGGAUCGGACGAUGUUAAAUUUUAUUGACUCGUUCGGCGCCUUACG
rnacentral:rRNA from 1 species